rnacentral:rRNA from 1 species
GUUUUUAUAGCAGGUCUACUUUAAAAAAAAAAGAUACAUGAAAGACUUGUACCAAUCGGGAUCUAAAAAGGCUAGGAUUUAAAAGCCGGUCAAAAAGUGCUUUGCUAAAAAAAAAGUCCAGACUCCUAACCACGUACGCAUAUGUGUACGUGACUCGGCUAAUUAUAACCAGAAGGAUCUAUUAAAUUAUGGUGGCUGCUACGAAUCAGUCGGAUGAUUUCUCACCUCGUAGCCAUCUGAUCUAGCUUUGGGUGGCCGUUCGUUCCAAGCAACAGCCCCACCUCACGUCUUCCUCCUUUGAUCCCCUUCCAGCAGAGCAACGCAAGACCCACCAUGGCACCUAAGCCGUCGACGCGCGCUGCAAUGCAUCUCGAAGAUCCACCACCGCCCGCUGCAUCGUUGGCUGCGCUUCAUUGCAGUGCCGGGCGGCGCUUCGGGAGCACCGGCUUGCUCCAUUCCAGCCAUGGCCGUGGCAACACCUAGCACAAAAAAGCAUCGACGCUGCACCGAUGACGUCUCCAACGAAGCUUCUUUGUAGCCACGGCAGCACUCCAUUGCAGCCCCGGACACGCUCCAUUGCAGCUCCGAUGAAGCUCCAUUAUAGCUGCGAUAGAGCUCCAAUUACCCCGGACGCGCUCCAUUGCAGCGCCAACGAUGCUUCAACGCAACCCCGACGAAGUUUCGAUGGUCCCCCUGCGGCGCUCCAUCGCAACACUCGCCGUCGCCGAAGAUGCUUCAUUGCAGUGCUGACGCCGAUGCAGAGGUGUGGUCCAUCGAUGCUCCAUCGCAUCACCCGACGGCACCGACCAUGUUUCGUUGCUACGGACUCCACCGCAGCACCCCGACGGCGCCGUCAACGGAGUUGCACUGCACCGCCCUGCCGCUUGUUGGGCUCCAUCGCAGCGCGACGGCGACGCGGUUGCCGCGACGAAGCACGCGACAGCAACGGCGUGGAUGCUGCAACGCAACAUGAUGACGACGGGGGUUGCUGCGACGCGGCAAGAUGCGGCCCGAUGGUGAUGUCUCGUCGCCUCCAGCACCGGCGGCUGCCGUUGCAGUCCCCCAGGGUGGGAGCUUCACCAUGCUCCAUGCGGUGAUGUGGAUUUGGCCGGUGUCGCCUCUUCCUUUCAGUAGCAAGUGCAGGGGGAAAAAGCGAAGCAAGAAGACUAGGA